UCUUUAUAAAAAUUAAUUUAAUUUUAAUUAUUUAAUUAUUAUAAUUUUAUUUACAAAUUUAUUUUAUUGGGGUGAUAUAAAAAUUUAAAAAACUUUUUAUUAAAAUUUAUUUUAGUUAAAAGAAAAUUGAUCUAUUAUUAUAAUUAAAAGAAUAAGA
rnacentral:rRNA from 1 species